rnacentral:rRNA from 1 species
GUGAGGAAUUUUGCGCAAUGGGGGCAACCCUGACGCAGCGACGCCGCGUGGAGGACGAAGUCUUUCGGGAUGUAAACUCCUGUCAGUGGGGACGAUAAUGACGGUACCCACAGAGGAAGCACCGGCUAACUCCGUGCCAGCAGCCGCGGUAAGACGGAGGGUGCAAGCGUUGUUCGGAAUUACUGGGCGUAAAGCGUAUGUAGGCGGCAAGUUAAGUUCAAUGUUAAAGCCCACGGCUCAACCGAGGAGAUGCAUUGAAUACUGGCUAGCUAGAGGCUGUUAGAGGAAGACGGAAUUCCCAGUGUAGCUGUGAAAUGCGUAGAUAUUGGGAGGAACAUCGGUAGCGAAAGCGGUCUUCUGGGACAUACCUGACGCUGAGGUACGAAAGCGUGGGGAGCAAACGGGAUUAGAAACCCGUGUAGUCC